CAGGCAGUGGCGUAGCUAUGCAGUUACUUCGACUGUUAAUCGAGUGGUUGCGGGUUCAAUUCCCGUCCGCCUGU
rnacentral:tRNA from 1 species